UGAAUUAGCACGCAACAAGUUCGCGCACUGUGGCGAAUCAUGUUUUUACGCGCUUACUUACCACAGCGACCUCAAUGAGAAUACGUAUUGGCAGGUGUCUUUUAUAUUACAUACAUACAAUAUAUAUGGACAGAUAUAAUCUUAGGAUGAUCGCACAAAUUCCUACGUCCUAGAGCUAUCGCUGUGUAAAACGGACGACAGAUAGAUACAAAACAGUAAUUAGAAGAUUUGCUAUUUGGUCUGUGGAGAGAUUUUUUAUUACAACGUUACGACGAGGUUGCUCAUUAAGUAUCAUAUCGAUAGAAGAUGCCUGAGCAAAUAAUUUAAUGAUAGUGAUUGGAUAGGAUGAGGUUCAACUCAUCUUUGGCUUCCUCCAAGUCCGGAUGUCACACCAGUGGACUACUUCUGAUGGAGAACUGCUAAAGAAAAGUUUUGCCUGUGCUCAGCCGAGAAGGGUGAAACUUCAAGACCAGCUUGAUUUCUCAGAGGACGUAGCUCAACGGUAACGAAGUUAGUGAUGGACAUGUGUGCACGAUUACCACAUCAAUAAUUCAUAAAUCCAUUACGAAAUUGACAAACCGUACAUAUUAUAUCUACUA